rnacentral:rRNA from 1 species
CUACGUGAGCUACUCCAAGACAGCCUAACAAUAAGGGCCAACCCGUCUCUGUGGCAAAAGAGUGGGAAGAGCUUCGAGUAGAGGUGACAGACCUACCGAACCUAGUUAUAGCUGGUUGCCUGAGAAAUGAAUAGAAGUUCAGCCUCUCGGAUUCUUCCCUCACCACUGUUCUCCUCCCCCUUGACAGCCAAAAGAAGCCGAAAGAGUUAGUCAAAGGGGGUACAGCUCCUUUGACACAAGAUACAACUUUUCCAGAAGGGUAAAGAUCAUAUAUAAACAUUAAGGUAUAAUGUUUUGGUGGGCCUAAAAGCAGCCA